rnacentral:rRNA from 1 species
UUCUGGCUCAGGAUGAACGCUAGCGACAGGCCUAACACAUGCAAGUCAGGGGCAGCACAAGGAGCAAUCUGAGGUGGCGACCGGCGCACGGGUGAGUAACACGUAUGCAACCUGCCUGUAAGCGGGGAAUAACCCGUUGAAAGACGGACUAAUACCGCAUAAUACUAAAUUACUGCAUGGUAAUUUAUUUAAACAUUUAUGGCUUACAGAUGGGCAUGCGCAUGAUUAGCUAGUUGGAGAGGUAACGGCUCCCCAAGGCAACGAUCAUUAGGGGUUCUGAGAGGAAGGUCCCCCACACUGGUACUGAGACACGGGCCAGACUCCUACGGGAGGCAGCAGUGAGGAACACUGGUCAAUGGACGAGAGUCUGAACCAGCCAAGUCGCGUGCAGGAAGAAAUGUCCUAUGGAUUGUAAACUGCUUUUGCAGGGGAAUAAAGUGCAUCACGUGUGAUGUUUUGUAUGUACUCUGCGAAUAAGGAUCGGCUAACUCCGUGCCAGCCGCGGC